rnacentral:rRNA from 1 species
CCUACGGGAGGCAGCAGUGAGGAAUAUUGGUCAAUGGACGAGAGUCUGAACCAGCCAAGUAGCGUGAAGGAUGACUGCCCUAUGGGUUGUAAACUUCUUUUAUAUGGGAAUAAAACGUUCCACGUGUGGGAUUUUGUAUGUACCAUAUGAACAAGGGUCGGCUAACUCCGUGCCAGCAGCCGCGGUACUACGGAGGAUCCGAGCGUUAUCCGGAUGUAUUGGGCUUAAAGGGAGCGUAGGUGGAUUGUUAAGUCAGUUGUGAAAGUUUGGGGCUCAACCGUGAAAUUGCAGUUGAUACUGGCAGUCUAGAGUACAGUAGAGGUGGGCGGAAUUCGUGGUGUAGCGGUGAAAUGCGUAGAUAUGACGAAGAACUCCGAUUGCGAAGGCAGUUCACUGGACUGCAACUGACACUGAGGCUCGAAAGUGUGGGUAUCAAACAGGAUUAGAUACCCUGGUAGUC